AAUGAACGUUGGCGGCAUGGAUUAGGCAUGCAAGUCGGGGGAAUCCCAGCAAUGGGGGAACCGGCGUAAGGGGCAGUAAGGCAUGGGUACCUACCUUGGGGUUCGUGAUAGCCAUCAGAGAUGGUGGGUAAUACCGGAUGACGUCGUGAGACCAAAGCUUUACCGCCCUUAGAGGGGCCCAUGUGAUAUUAGCUAGUUGGUGGGGUAACGGCCCACCAAGGCGAAGAUGUCUAGCGGGUGUGAGAGCACGACCCGCGCCACUCGCACUGAGACACUGGCGAGACACCUACGGGUGGCUGCAGUCGGGGAUCUUCGGCAAUGAGCGCAAGCUUGACCGAGCGAUGCCGCGUGAGCGAUGAAGGCCUUCGGGUUGUAAAGCUCUUUAGUGGGGGAGAAAAGCCGCAAGGUGUGAUCUAUCCCAAAAAUAAGCACGGGCUAAGUUCGUGCCAGCAGCCGCCGUAA
rnacentral:rRNA from 1 species